UAAACAAACAUAGGGUUCUACCCCACUCUAGGAGAUGGCCCUUCUUCAUCUACACGACCAGGUUCCAACAUGUUCGUCCCAGACGUCACGGAUGACAUGUGUGCCACCUUGGACGAGUUCUCCCCCCCCCCCCUCUCAGCCCGAUAUCAUGGGGUCUUCACAGUUGGACGGAGCACCGCCGAUACAGUCACAGGACCCAACCCAACAGGCACCUGAGGGGCGUCCAGAUCGACAGCCGAGGUCCCCAGACCGUUUGACCUAUUCCAGGGGCCACGUUCGUGCCCAGCCGAGGCCCAAGAGGGGCCGACCAGCGAGGGGAGGAUAGAUGUGUGCAUGCUUAUAUCACCAUGUAUCAUGUAGCGAACAUUGUUUGUUUCUCCGUGCUGUGGAUUUUGAACUAUUUGUCAUAUUGUUGUUUACUAUUGAACUUAAUCUUUUCUACGUUAUCGUUUUUA